rnacentral:lncRNA from 1 species
CUUGGUCCCCUGAGCCUUGGGCACACCACCUAGAUCACAACAGUGGGUUGGUCGAGGCUUUUCAAUAAGAAAUUUGAAUUAAAAUUGGAUCUUCAUGGCAUGAGAAAAAGAGAGGAAGAUGGUCUUCCUCAUGGGCAUGAGAAAGGAAGAAGAGUCUUCCUUGUGAGCAUCCAUUUGAGAGAGGAAACAUUCCUCUUUGGAGGUGUGGAAAAAUAAGAGAAAGGGUUCUCUUAUGCAUGGA